AUGUGGACGCACCAAUCAAAAAACAUUACUCGCUAGAGCCCGCCUCCCAAGGAUUCGCUCCUUUCGUUAACGCCUCAGUAAAUUCAACUGGGAACCUGCCAUUCACUACUCCUCCUCUUUAUCCUUUUUUCAUCACGGGGUUCUAUUGUCUGUCUCUGCUUCUACUUCAUGGAAGUGAAGACAGUCAUCAAGUAGGCUAACAUUUCUACCAGCUGUGAUAUCUUAAUAUUAACAUCAUGUCAUUUAAAAAAAUACAAAGUCAUUAAACUAAACUAUUGUCUUUCACAGUGGAAAUCUCAGAUUCUGCACGCGGCCCAGUGAACGAAGCUAGUGGUUGGUUUUAAAACAUGUGCAGGUACGGUGCUGGCUGCUGACUUUUGAAGGAUGCUUCAUCAUUUCACGGAUCUGAACCAUUUUACUUACAGUUCAGGAAAGAUGCCCAAAGAUGUGCAAAUAGGCAACUCUAGGAGGACAGGCCCCAAGAGAUGAGCAAAACAGGAAGCACAGGAUGUGACUGAGACAGAGGAUGAAAGGAGACUGUCAAACCGCAACCUUUCCACUAGACCAACUUCACCCAUCUGCUUGCUAUAAGAAUAAUUAUAACUAGAUAUAACCGGCUAUAAGCUAGAUUAAAAAGUGCCCCACUUCGAGUGGAAAAUAACUGGGGCAUAGUUCAGUUAUAGGCUUGCAAAAUGUAGAGCACGCCUCUUGUGCAUGAUGAAAAAGUACUGAGACACUGUAUAUAAGAAGCUGUCUGUACACACCUAACGUCAGAGAGUUUUGUGAGUACUCUCUCAUUCUUUUCUCUGUUUGCAAGCUGAAUAAAAGUCCUAUGAGUGAA